rnacentral:rRNA from 1 species
CAGUCGCCACGGGAAUACGAAGGGGGCUAGCGUUGCUCGGAAUGACUGGGCGUAAAGGGCGCGUAGGCGGAUUGUUUAGUUAGGCGUGAAAUUCCUGGGCUUAACCUGGGGACUGCGCUUAAUACAGGCAGUCUAGAGUGAGGAAGAGGGUUGUGGAAUUCCCAGUGUAGAGGUGAAAUUCGUAGAUAUUGGGAAGAACACCGGUGGCGAAGGCGGCAACCUGGUCCUUGACUGACGCUGAGGCGCGAAAGCGUGGGGAGCAAACAGGAUUAGAUACCCCCGUAGUCCCUGUCUCUUAUAC